UGGGUCCACUCCAGACUGGACUGCAAGCUUUGGGAGUUACUUUAAGAGACUCAAAAGGACACUGUCUAUCUAUAAUGCUUAUUAUUCAUUAUUGAAUGCCAUCACCAUCUCUCUCAAUCUUCUGAACAAAGGGUUUUUGUGUUGGAAGAUGAGGAAGGCUCUUGCUCUGCUGUCUCUCCUGGUUAUCCUCUCACUAACCUUGCCUUUAGGUAUGGAGAGCUACAAAGGGUUUUAUGGGCAUCAUGGGAUUUGCUAUGACAAAUUCGAUAUGCUCAUGGAACCGCAUUGCAACAGUGAAACAUGCAACAGGCUGUGCGAAUCCAAAAAGUUCGAUAGACUCUAUACAAGGAGGUGUUCGGAUUCUAUCACUUGUGAACGUACUCACCGUUGUCGUCUUCCUUAAGAACCCCCCCACCCCAACUGCCUGCCUUCAUGCCACCACCAAACCCUACCUCACUUACUAGUAUCACUUGAACAUGUGGUCUGCUAGGAAAAAUGUACUCCUUUUUUCCAGGCAGGCAAUAAAUUAAUAAAAGUUUGCUUACCCAAUUUUGUA